CGACGUCGACCGCACAUUCGCUUUCGUCGGAGCCGACGACGACGAGCGGUGAGGAAGAGGAACGAAGUCACGAAGAGGAAGCGACGUUGCGAGCCUGCGACGGACUCAGGAGACGAAGAGGAAGCGAUGCUGCGACGCCACGACGGAGUCAGGAGACGAAGCGACACCGCAACUGUCCAUUCUCCGUCGCCGACCUCUCGUGACACUCACUUCAGUCAGUCAGAAAUAAAGACUCUGCCACAAUUCAGCCAUAUCUCUUGCUCCAUCUUGAUAUAUUGUCUGAGGCUGUCAACACAAUAGAGGAUGCACUUCGCCUAUAUUGUGCACCAGAGACAGUCGAAGGUUACCGAGCAUCAAACACUAGUAAGGUACAUAAAGUGUUUUCUUAUGUAAAUUAAAUGGAUCUAGUGCAGGUUUGUCCAUAUGAUGCUAUUGAUGCUCCACGUGUUUGAAAAUAUGUAUGCAUCUGCAGACUCUAAUUCUGCUAACAGGUUGUAGUCUGCUCCUAUUCCCAUAUCCUAGCAUUGUUUGAAGACAUUAAUGUUCUGCCCAGGGGUGGAUCCAGCAUUUUUAAUUUGGUGGGGCACUGUUUUUAAAGUUAAGUCAGGAACACCAUGUUUCUUCACUAAAAGUGUUAUUGGAGUACUCGAUAUACCCUUUCCUGCAAUUUCCUGGGUUGUUGAGUUGAUUGCUUGAGAAACGCUCCUCAUCAACAUCUAUUCUUUGUAUAUAUAUGACCUUUUUCUUAAGAUCUUGUUUCUGAUGUGUGUGUUUCUGAAAAAAUGCAGGAUAUUGAGAGCAGAAAAGGGCCUCAAAGAUUUUUGAUUGAAUUGCGUUCAAGUUGAAGUUUUAUGUUGAAGAUUCAAUGAAGGUUGAAUGUCGGUUGAAGAUGGAAUUUCUACAUAUUUUUUAUUUUUUUUAUUUCCUCUUUUGAAUGUUUGUAUCAAUUCGUCAAAAUUGUUAGUAAUAAGAUUAUACUUCUAGUUUCCUUUAUUAAUUUAUAAUGCUAUUUUUUCCGUUGAUGUAAGAAUGUGCUUGUAACUGUUACUGUACUAAUAACACAAUGUUGACGCUUACAAGUGUCUAUAUAGUAGCUUCAAAUUGCAACA